GAACACAUGUUAAUUAAACUGAAUUAGUAAAAUUUGCAAAGUUUGGUUGCGAAAUGUUGUAAAAUGCGGGAAAUAUACCCCUGCGAAAUUUUCAAAUUUUGGUAUUAAUUUGUAUAACGCGCGGGAAAUGUACCACAUUUGGGCCGAAGUGGCGCGUAAUACAAAUUAAUACAAAAUUUGCAAAUUUCGUAAGGCUAUAUCUUCCGGAUUUUGCAACAUUUCACAAACAAACUUUGCAGUUUACUAAUUUUAAAAUUUAACAUGCUCUUUCUAGUUGUGGUGAUGGAAUUUGUUCUUCUUUUGCCUAGAUCAAAAUUUAGUCUAUUAUACCUGUCGCGAUUUAGGAAGAGCGUAUUUGCGUUGGGUUUUCAGUUGGCCCAACAAACCCCAACGCUUAAUUAGUUAUUCCAGAAUCUCAUGACAAUGCCUAUUGCCUAAAACUUAAUACUUCAUGUUAGGUUGUCAAGGACCGAAACAACUGUGGGGUGUAACACCCUCAAUGAAAAGUCAAGGAAGGGGGUCCAACUUGCUCACAGGAUGACGGGGGGGGGGGUUAAUACUGGAAUAAACCCAACAGACCCAACAAACCCAACAGGCACAACAGACCCAACAAACCCAACAGGCACAACAGACCCAACAGGCACAACAGACCCAACAGGCACAAGAGGCACAACAGACCCAACAAACCCAACAGCACAACAGACCUAACAGGCACAACAGACCCAACAGGCACAACAGACCCAACAGACC